AAGUCGUAACAAGGUCUCCGUAGGUGAACCUGCGGAGGGAUCAUUAACAAAUGAUUUGGUUUUAAACCAAAACACAUUGUGCAAUUAUAUCUGUCUCUGGUGGUCGGUUCCAAGUUUUUCUGUCUGUUUGCAAACUUCAAUAAACCUCCUGUGAACCGCAAGGGGAGCAGGGUUCUAUGAUCUCCUGGUUUAAAGAAGGAUGUACGCUGCGGAAAAUCACGAUCACCGAAUGAACAAACGUUUUGAUUAUUUUUUUAUGUCUGAAUCAUUCACUAUUUGUGCAAUGAAAAAACAACUUUUGACAACGGAUCUCUUGGCUCUC
rnacentral:misc_RNA from 1 species